rnacentral:tRNA from 1 species
GCUUGUUUGGUAAAGCACAAAGCUCUUAACCUUGUGGACGUGGGUUCAAGCCCCAU